AGUGAACGCUGGCGGUAGGCCUAACACAUGCAAGUCGAACGGCAGCACAGUAAGAGCUUGCUCUUACGGGUGGCGAGUGGCGGACGGGUGAGGAAUACAUCGGAAUCUACUUUUUCGUGGGGGAUAACGUAGGGAAACUUACUCUAAUACCGCAUACGACCUACGGGUGAAAGCAGUGGAUCUUCGGACCUUGCGCGAUUGAAUGAGCCGAUGUCGGAUUAGCUAGUUGGCGGGGUAAAGGCCCACCAAGGCGACGAUCCGUAGCUGGUCUGAGAGGAUGAUCAGCCGCCCUGGAACUGAGACGCGGUCCAGACUCCUACGGGAGGCAGCAGUGGGGAAUAUUGGACAAUGGGCGGAAGCCUGAUCCAGCCAUACCGCGUGGGUGAAGAAGGCCUUCGGGUUGUAAAGCCCUUUUGUUGGGAAAGAAAAGCAGCAGGUUAAUACCCCGCUGUUCUGACGGUACCCAAAGAAUAAGCACCGGCUAACUUCGUG
rnacentral:rRNA from 1 species